rnacentral:rRNA from 1 species
UACGUAGGGGGCAAGCGUUGUCCGGAAUCAUUGGGCGUAAAGAGCGUGUAGGCGGCCAGAUAAGUCCGCUGUGAAAUCUCGAGGCUCAACUUCGAGCUGUCGGUGGAAACUGUCUGGCUAGAGUCCGGAAGAGGAGAAUGGAAUUCCUGGUGUAGCGGUGAAAUGCGCAGAUAUCAGGAAGAACACCCGUGGCGAAGGCGGUUCUCUGGGACGGUACUGACGCUGAGACGCGAAAGCCAGGGAGCGAACGGG